rnacentral:rRNA from 1 species
CCUACGGGAGGCAGCAGUGAGGAAUAUUGGUCAAUGGGCGCGAGCCUGAACCAGCCAAGUAGCGUGAAGGAUGACUGCCCUACGGGUUGUAAACUUCUUUUAUAAAGGAAUAAAGUGAGGCACGUGUGCCUUUUUGUAUGUACUUUAUGAAUAAGGAUCGGCUAACUCCGUGCCAGCAGCCGCGGUAAUACGGAGGAUCCGAGCGUUAUCCGGAUUUAUUGGGUUUAAAGGGAGCGUAGGUAGAUUGUUAAGUCAGUUGUGAAAUUUUGCGGCUCAAACGUAAAAUUGCAGGUGAUACUGGCAGUCUUGAGUACAGUAGAGGUGAGCGGAAUUCGUGGUGUAGCGGUGAAAUGCUUAGAUAUCACGAAGAACUCCGAUUGCGAAGGCAGCUCACUGGACUGCAACUGACACUGAGGGUCGAAAGUGUGGGUAUCAAACAGGAUUAGAUACCCUAGUAGUC